ACGUAUGGUGCAAGCGUUAUCCGGAUUUACUGGGUGUAAAGGGAGCGCAGGCGGUGCGGCAAGUCUGAUGUGAAAGCCCGGGGCUCAACCCCGGUCCUGCAUUGGAAACUGUCGUACUAGAGUGUCGGAGGGGUAAGCGGAAUUCCUAGUGUAGCGGUGAAAUGCGUAGAUAUUAGGAGGAACACCAGUGGCGAAGGCGGCUUACUGGACGAUAACUGACGCUGAGGCUCGAAAGCGUGGGGAGCAAACAG
rnacentral:rRNA from 1 species